GAGUUUGAUCCUGGCUCAGGAUUAACGCUGGCGGCGUGCCUAAUGCAUGCAAGUCGAACGUGGUCCCUUCGGGGGCAAACGUGGCGGACGGGUGAGGAGCACGUGGGGAACCUGCCCAUCGGUGGGGGGUAGCCCGCGGAAACGCGGGGUAAUUCCGCAUACGCUCGUCUCGGGGUAGCCGAGAUGAGGAAAGGAUUUAUUCGCCGAUGGAGGGGCCUGCGUCCGAUUAGCUGGUUGGUGGGGUAACGGCCUACCAAGGCGUUGAUCGGUAGCUGGUCUGAGAGGACGGCCAGCCACAGGGGGACUGAGACACGGUCCAGACUCCUACGGGAGGCAGCAGUGGGGAAUUUUGGACAAUGGGGGCAACCCUGAUCCAGCCAUUCCGCGUGAGUGAAGAAGGCC
rnacentral:rRNA from 1 species